ACUCCUACGGGUGGCAGCAGUCGAGAAUCUUCGGCAAUGGGCGCAAGCCUGACCGAGCGACGCCGCGUGCGGGAUGAAGGCCUCCGGGUUGUAAACCGCUGUCGUAGGGGAGGAAGCGACCGUGAAGAACGGAAGUUGACCGAUCCUAGGGGGAAGGGCCGGCUAAUCUCGUGCCAGCAGCCGCGGUAAUACGAGAGGCCCAAACGUUAUUCGGAUUUACUGGGCUUAAAGAGUUCGUAGGCGGUGCAGAAAGUGGGGUGUGAAAGCCCUCGGCUCAACCGAGGAAUUGCGCUCCGAACUACCGUACUGGAGGAAGCUAGAGGUGAGCAGAACAGAUGGUGGAGCGGUGAAAUGCGUUGAUAUCAUCUGGAAUACCGGAGGCGAAGGCGGCUCACUGGGGCUUUUCUGACGCUGAGGAACGAAAGCCAGGGUAGCGAACGGGAUUAGAUACCCCGGUAGUCCUGGCCGUAAACGAUGAGCACUGGGCCGGAG
rnacentral:rRNA from 1 species